ACGGGGCGCAGCAGGCGCGAAAACUCCGCAAUACACGAAAGUGUGACGGGGGAACCCCGAGUGCACUCACGCAAGUGAGCGCUUUUGUGAAGUGUAAAUAGCUUCACGAAUAAGAGCUGGGUAAGACCGGUGCCAGCCGCCGCGGUAACACCGGCAGCUCGAGUGGUGAUCACUAUUAUUGGGCCUAAAGCGUCCGUAGCCGGUUUGGUAAGUCCUUGGGCAAAUCCUGUCGCUUAACGGCAGGAAUUCUGAGGAUACUGUCAGACUUGAGGCCGAGAGAGGUCGGAGGUACUUCUGGGGUAGUGGUGAAAUGCUAUAAUCCUAGAGGGACCACCGGUGGCGAAGGCGUCCGACUAGAGCGGGCCUGACGGUAAGGGACGAAAGCCAGGGGAGCGAACGGGAUUAGAUACCCCGGUAGUCCUGGCCGUAAACGCUGUGGGCUAGGUGUUGCAUGCUCUACGAGGGCGUGCAGUGCCGAAGAGAAGUUGAUAAGCCUACCGCCUGGGAAGUACUAUCGCAAGAUAGAAACUUAAAGGAAUUGGCGGGGGAGCACCACAAGGGGUGAAGUCUGCGGUUCAAUUGGAUUCAACGCCGGAAAUCUCACUGGAAGCGACGGCAGAAUGACAGCCAAGCUGAUGACUUUGCUUGAC
rnacentral:rRNA from 1 species